GCUGGUGUAGCUCAGCUGGUAGAGCAACUGAUUCGUAAUCAGUAGGUCGGUGGUUCGAGUCCACUCGCCAGCACCA
rnacentral:tRNA from 1 species